GAGACAGGUUGGUCUCCUAUCUACUGCAUCCGUUGAUUAUUGAGGGGGCUUCUCUCUAGUACGAGAGGACCGAGAGGAGGCGACCUCUGGUGUACCAGCUGUCCUGCCAAGGGCAUCGCUGGGUAGCUAUGUCGCUGAGUGAUAAGCGCUGAAAGCAUCUAAGCGCGAAGCACGCCCCAAGAUUAGUAAUCGUUUAGACUCGUGGGAGAUUACCACGUUGAUAGGCUCUAGGUGUAAGUCCUGUAAAGGAUUUAGCCGAGGAGUACUAAUAAGUCGAAA
rnacentral:rRNA from 1 species